rnacentral:ncRNA from 1 species
CUACCAUAAAGAGAAGGUAAGAGACAAGCUCGAUGACCCUUCAGCAACCUGCAGACGCAAGGUGCUAAAGCUUGAAUGAUGGGAAACACUAAACCCAUCAUAGAUGGUUU